rnacentral:rRNA from 1 species
CAGCAGCCGCGGGAAUACAGAGGGUGCGAGCGUUAAUCGGAUUACUGGGCGUAAAGCGUGCGUAGGCGGCUUCUUAAGUCGGAUGUGAAAUCCCUGAGCUUAACUUAGGAAUUGCAUUCGAUACUGGGAAGCUAGAGUAUGGGAGAGGAUGGUAGAAUUCCAGGUGUAGCGGUGAAAUGCGUAGAGAUCUGGAGGAAUACCGAUGGCGAAGGCAGCCAUCUGGCCUAAUACUGACGCUGAGGUACGAAAGCAUGGGGAGCAAACAGGAUUAGAUACCCCUGUAGUCCCUGUCUCUUAUACA